UACGGAGGGUGCGAGCGUUGUCCGGAAUCACUGGGCGUAAAGGGCGCGUAGGUGGCAGCGUAAGCGUGUGGUGAAAGCUCGGGGCUCAACCCUGAGUCGGCCAUGCGAACUGCGUUGCUCGAGCACUGUAGAGGCAGACGGAAUUCCGGGUGUAGCGGUGGAAUGCGUAGAGAUCCGGAAGAACACCGGUGGCGAAGGCGGUCUGCUGGGCAGUUGCUGACACUGAGGCGCGACAGCGUGGGGAGCAAACAGG
rnacentral:rRNA from 1 species